rnacentral:misc_RNA from 1 species
GCAAUCUGAAGUUCCGAGGCACUGUUCAUAAACUCAAAGAGUCAGUGUCAUGUAUGAUUCUGCAACUUCAACCAGACAAAAAGUCCCAAAAUGGACUUCAAGUACCAAAACCAAUUCAUACUCCAUAUGGUUGUUUAACCAUUAGAAUUCUUCAGUAAGAGGAAAAAAAAAUCCCCAAUCCAUUUACUUAACUAGUCUGAAUACAGCCAGCAAAGAUUGCUUCUCAUAAUUUCUAGCAAAAAAUUUGCAAUCUAUCUUAAAUGUCUCAUUCUGAUGUUUCAUUAUCUGUACCAAGUACCAACCCUCCAGUUUUGAAUUAAUUAAAGCCUUGAACUAUUAUAAACAUCAAAAUCAAGUACAAUAUGUAACUCCAAAUUAAUGUCUGAUUCUAUUCUCCAAAAAGGAAAAAAAAAUCCAUCUUUUAGACGUAAAACUAAGAAAAACCUAUAACUUCAACAAAUAAAUUUUAAGCAAUAACAUUUACUAUAAACAUUAGAAAAAUAAAAAACACUCCUAUCAGUUGGCAUUAUAAGUGUGCAUAUGCUAUUAAUAUAAUAGGUCAGUAACUAAGAUGCUACAAACUUUACCCCAAGAAUUGUAGGUACAUGUGCAGAAAAUCAUGCGCAUCAGCACAUGCAUGUGCAUGUGCAUGUGCAGAUAAAGAAGAUUUUCUACUCAACGAACAAACAUACCCAAUGCAUCAGGGACAGAAACACUCCUACAUCCUAUGGUUUCACCUUGCCAUUAUAUAUGUUGAAAUCAUUUUUCCUAAAACAUGUUAAAAGAAACAAACAAAAAAUAAAAUAACAGCGCCCACAGCAUUACUUGACUACACAAAAAGAUAACACAAUUUGACACAAGGUAUCAAUUUCUGACCAUCAUAGAAUAAGGCAUGAAAAACUUUCUUGAAGUGGUUGAAGAUACCAAGUUAUUUCCCAACAAUCAACUCUUAGCCAAGUAUUCACAGGAGAAAAGGAAUCAAAUAGAGUUCCCACCACUCGAUUAUCUAAGAACAGCUCCAUUACAUAAAAUCGAUCAGAUAAAGGCACCAGGAAUACAAGUUAAAUUACAUGCAAUUGAUUUAAAAAUUAAAAAGAGAAAAGCAGAUAUUUCUUAAUCACCCAAAAAGCAAACAACUGAAACCAUCAAAUUCUUCAAAAUUAAAAAGCUCCGGAUAGAUUCCAAUAUAGAACGCAACAAAAAACCCCCAAAUAAAAAUUAAAAAAAAAAUCAACACAGUCCCACAACAGAUAAACAUUAAAAGGAUACAACAACUCACAUCCUCGAGCAGAUUUUACGAGUUAACAAACAAAAAGCAGAAGAUCAGAGUCAGGAUAAGAAAAACCCAAAAAGGGUAUGUUGGUAUACGAUCAAGGGACUCAC